rnacentral:rRNA from 1 species
GUCUAUGGCCCUGCCACCCUCAACAAGCCUGAUGUCUGAUCUCGGAAACUAAGCAAGGUCGAGCCUGGUUAGUACUUGAAUGGGAGACAACCUAGGAAAGCAGGUGUUGUAGGCA